AUUGAACGCUGGCGGCAGGCUUAACACAUGCAAGUCGAGCGGGGUGAUGGUGCUUGCACUAUCACUUAGCGGCGGACGGGUGAGUAAUGCUUAGGAAUCUGCCUAUUAGUGGGGGACAACAUCUCGAAAGGGAUGCUAAUACCGCAUACGUCCUACGGGAGAAAGCAGGGGAUCACUUGUGACCUUGCGCUAAUGGAUGAGCCUAAGUCGGAUUAGCUAGUUGGUGGGGUAAAGGCCUACCAAGGCGACGAUCUGUAGCGGGUCUGAGAGGAUGAUCCGCCACACUGGGACUGAGACACGGCCCAGACUCCGACGGGAGGCAGCAGUGGGGAAUAUUGGACAAUGGGGGGAACCCUGAUCCAGCCAUGCCGCGUGUGUGAAGAAGGCCUUAUGGUUGUAAUGCACUUUAAGCGAGGAGGAGGCUCUUUUGGUUAAUACCCAAGAUGAGUGGACGUUACUCGCAGAAUAAGCACCGGCUAACUCUGUGCCAGCCGCCGCCGUAA
rnacentral:rRNA from 1 species